rnacentral:rRNA from 1 species
GCCUACGGGACGCAGCAGUGGGGGAUAUUGCACAAUGGGGGAAACCCUGAUGCAGCGACGCCGCGUGUGGGAAGACGGUCCUCUGGAUUGUAAACCACUGUCCCCAGGGACGAAGAUGACGGUACCUGGGGAGGAAGCUCCGGCUAACUACGUGCCAGCAGCCGCGGUAAUACGUAGGUGGCGAGCGUUAUCCGGAAUGAUUGGGCGUAAAGGGUGCGUAGGCGGCCUGCUAAGUCUGGAGUGAAAGGUACCGGCUCAACCGGUACAGGCUCUGGAAACUGGCGGGCUAGAGAGCAGGAGAGGGG